rnacentral:rRNA from 1 species
GUGGCGGACGGGUGAGUAACGCGUGAACAAUCUGCCCUAUACAAAGGAAUAGCCUCGGGAAACUGGGAUUAAAACCGUAUAACACUUAAGUAUCGCAUGGUACAUAAGUCAAAUUGAUUAAGAGGUAUAGGAUGAGUUCGCGUCUGAUUAGCUAGUUGGUGAGGUAAUGGCUCACCAAGGCGACGAUCAGUAGCCGGCCUGAGAGGGUGAACGGCCACACUGGAACUGAGACACGGUCCAGACUCCUACGGGAGGCAGCAGUGGGGAAUAUUGCACAAUGGGCGAAAGCCUGAUGCAGCGACGCCGCGUGAGUGAAGAAGGUCUUCGGAUCGUAAAACUCUGUCCUUGGUGAAGAAAAAAAUGACGGUAGCCAAGGAGGAAGCCCCGGCUAACUACGUGCCAGCAGCCGCGGUAAUACGUAGGGGGCGAGCGUUGUCCGGAUUUACUGGGCGUAAAGGGUGAGUAGGCGGUUGUAUAAGUCAGAUGUAAAAGGCGUAGGCUCAACUUACGUAAGCAUUUGAAACUGUACGACUUGAGUGCAGGAGAGGUAAGUGGAAUUCCUAGUGUAGCGGUGAAAUGCGUAGAUAUUAGGAGGAACACCAGUGGCGAAGGCGACUUACUGGACUGUAACUGACGCUGAGUCACGAAAGCGUGGGUAGCAAACAGGAUUAGAUACCCUGGUAGUCCACGCCGUAAACGAUGAGUGCUAGGUGUUGGUUAGCGAUAAUCAGUGCCGAAGUUAACACAAUAAGCACUCCGCCUGGGGAGUACGGUCGCAAGACUGAAACUCAAAGGAAUUGACGGGGACCCU